CAGUGAGGACGUCCUCUUCUCUCUGGCUCUUUUUGUGUCUCUAUCUUGCUCUGUGCUUCUCUCUGUCUCUUGCUUUCUCCCUCUCCCGAUGGAUGGACUAGCUCCACACUGAUGUACCUUCCAGGCCCUUUCAGCCUAGUGACCGUGGCCCUGUCUGCUUGCCACACCUCAGUUAGGUUCAUACCUAUGGUUCUGGCCCUCCUCGGGGUCUUGCAAACCUGCCGAGGACCAUUUGACCAUAUGGCCUCCUGAGGGAGGGAUGGAGCUUUGUUGGUUGGCUGCAAGAUGGUAUGGGGGAGGAAGAGAAAGGGGAAGGACUUCUGACACCUCUUUGGAGUCACUCUGGGUCCAGGCGCCUCCUCUAUGUCCCACUUGUACCCAAACAGAAAGGAAGUCCAAGGCUGAGAGACCUUUGCCCUUCAGCCAGCCCUCAAGCUCUGCCCAUUCUUCCCUACUGUGACAAGUGACCAGCCAACUCUCAGUAACAAGCAGAGUAAAAAUGUCUUUUAGGCAUGUAAAAAGAGCUUUGUCUGGAUUCUCCACCUCACCCAAGGCUGCAUCUGAGAACCAGAACUCAUUGGCAUUACCCAGGAUAAUCAGACACGGUCCUAGAACCCCAAGACACCUACUGGGUAGUAUAUAAGGAGAGACCAAGAGCAACGCUCUGCCCAUCUGGAGAGAUGAGACCUUCCUUGAUCAGCCCUGGGGCUGGAGAGUCUCCCUCAGGAUCCUGGCCCUUGCAUCAAAGACUUCUGCUAGAGACUGGGCCUGGCCUUCAGCUAUGAUACAUCCCAGGAAUGUGUGUCUGUCCACUCACAAGCAGGUCCUGCCAUAGGCUAGUGACACCUCUGCAGAUCCAUUCCUUCAGUGGGAACAGACUGGAGACCAGGAACAGCACCAGACAGGGAUGCCAAGCUGCAAGGGAGAUCAGUUCGCCUAGCUGUCCCUUUGGGAGUCCACACACAGCCCAGAGUGCUGAGUGACAGGCUGAGUGAGUAGUCGCUGGUAAUACCCAGGGAUCUCUGAAGAGCAGGUCACCUCUUGGAGACAGCCAUCAAGGGGGCUGCCUUAGGAAGCUGCAGAUGAGGGAUGUGGUCAGAGCCACAUGCUGUGCUUUGGGAUCUGAACAGAGCCACCACUCUGCGCUUUGGGACAUGGACAGAGCCACCAUGCCAUGCUUUGGGAUGAUGACGGGGCCAUCACAUUGUGCUGCUGGAAGUCCCUUCCCCACAAAAGGAGCAGCAUAGGGACAGCAUCGUAACAGGAAUCGGAAGCCACUGGAUGAGGCUGAGGGACCUAAAUGCACAGGCUCGGGAGAGUUAAGAGACAAGCAGGGGACUGGCUGAGACCCUGGGAGAGAACAGCAGCCUUUCUGCAGGGGGCAGAAAGGCUGUUCCCUGAGGCCAUGGGACCUCAGGGAACAGUUGGUGGGAGCUGCCGUAGACUCGGUCAGAGCCUCAUCUGGGGCAAACACAUGGGAGAGUCCCAGCUUCCCUCAAGAGCCUGUUCCAGGGCCUCCUGCUUGUCUAUCCCACCAACCCCACAAGAAACCGGUCAACAUGGAGCCUGAAGAAACUGUGCUUCCUGGGGCCAGACAUCCUCGGCUUCUGGGUAGACCAGGCCUGCCAGUCUCAAGCUGCUGGAACAGCACCAGGGCUGUUCUCUGCUGUGUGCUACCCACUCCAUGGAUGGCCCCUGCAGCCUGAGGUCUGACCACCUACUCUCCAGGGGUCUCUCUGGCCUCCAGGUCCCAAAUGGGAGUUGAACUGGGGUUGCAGAUUACAUAGUCUCUUCCAGAGCUUGGCACUCAGCCCCAGCUGGGACAGGAGAGCAAGGAUGGGUGAGGCUGGACCUUCAGGAACCAUCUAAGCCCCAGAAGCCGAGAAAGCAGCAGGCAGGUCCCAAGAGCUGUUGUGGGUACAGAAUCUUGUAGCUGGAAUUGUGCAUACUAUGAGGAUGUGUCCACCAGGGCUGGGUAACUAGCCGGAGUAUCAACCUAAGCCCGUGACUUGAAACUUAAGGCUUUGAGAGAUUAAAAGAAAUAGUGUGUGUGUGUAAGAGAGAGAGACAGAGACAGAGACAGACAGAGAGAGAGAGAGAGAGAGAGGGAGAGAGAGAGAGAGAGGCUGUCCAUAGAGGUUAUGGGUGCUGGGAAUUGAACUCAGGUCCUCCGGGAGAGCAGUACUCACUCCUAACUGGUGGCCGUCUCUCUAGCCUCCAAGGGAUGUUUUUUUGUUUGUUUUUGUUUUGUUUGUUUGUUUUUUGAGAUUGAGGCCAGACCCAUAAGCACUGGAGAACUUGCAACAGGCCAUUCACAAUCUUUGUCAGAGACGAGGUGUCCUGGAGGCUCUUCGGUCGCAGUCAGCCACACCUUUUGGGAAGGCUUUCCGGGGUCCAUGAAGCGCCCCCAUGCUUACCUUGGAAUUUCCUUUCUAGAUCUCUGAGAUGCUUAAGGCAGGGAUUUGCCUGCCCUACCCUGUUCUGCCACUCUCAGGCUGCUGGCAGGCAGGCGCUGGGCACUGAUGAUGUUUCAGACAGAAGCAGCAAGGGAGAGCAGGAGGGAGGGGCCACAUCCAGAGGGAGGGGACACUAAGAUUAGAGAGGGAGAAGCCUAUGACUGUCCGAGGGCCCCUUGAUCAUUCUUGUGAUGUUGGGACUGAUUGUGUGUAUACUAGGGAGCCUGCUGAAUCAUGGACAGGGUUUUGAGGUCCUCUGGGGACUGUCUCUGCAGACCCCUGAAGGUAGACUGAGAAUCCCCUUUCAAGUCCUGCAGCCUGUGUCCCUGCCCCUGGCUCUGUACUACUCUGCUCCCAGUCAUGGAUCCUGUCACCCUUCAAGGAAGUGGCAGAUGCUGCACCCCAGGGUGGGAUACAGGAAGCAGGAAGAGGUGUGGUGGGGGGAUGAGAGACAAUGUGGUGAGGGGCUUAUGCACUGUAUCUGUCUCUUUCGCAGGACGCCUUUACCUGGCUCCUUCCUCCUAGCCUCCUGUUCCUGGUGUUAUUUUUAAAGUUUCACUUUGUAAACGUUUGUGCUUUAUUUGUUUAUUCGCUGGAAUUACCGGUGCACUUAUGCAUUCAAUAUUUAAAAGGUAAGCG
rnacentral:lncRNA from 1 species